rnacentral:rRNA from 1 species
CGAUUCUGGCUCAGGAUAAACGCUGGCGGCGUGCUUAACACAUGCAAGUCGAACGGAGUACUUCUCCCGAGACCGAGGAAGCUUGCUUCCAAAGAAUCAUUUGAAGUACUUAGUGGCGGACGGGUGAGUAACGCGUGGGUAACCUGCCUCACACAGGGGGAUAACAGUUGGAAACGACUGUUAAUACCGCAUAAGCGCACGGUAUCGCAUGGUACAGUGUGAAAAACUCCGGUGGUGUGAGAUGGACCCGCGUCUGAUUAGCUAGUUGGUGAGGUAACGGCCCACCAAGGCGACGAUCAGUAGCCGGCCUGAGAGGGUGUACGGCCACAUUGGGACUGAGACACGGCCCAAACUCCUACGGGAGGCAGCAGUGGGGAAUAUUGCACAAUGGGGGAAACCCUGAUGCAGCGACGCCCGCGUGAGUGAUGAAGUAUCUCGGUAUGUAAAGCUCUAUCAGCAGGGAAGAUAAUGACGGUACCUGACUAAGAAGCACCGGCUAAAUACGUGCCAGCCGCUGC